GAUGAACGCUGGCGGCGUGCCUAAUACAUGCAAGUCGAGCGAACAGACGAGGAGCUUGCUCCUCUGACGUUAUCGGCGGACGGGUGAGUAACACGUGGUUAACCUAACUAUAAGACUGGGAUAACUUCAGGAAACCGGGGCUACUACCGGAUAAUAUAUUGAACCGAAUGGUUCCCUAGUGAAAGAAGGUUUUGCUGGCACUUAUAGAUGGAUCCGCCUCUCAUUAACUAGUUGGUAGGGUGACGGCUUACCAAGGCGACGAUGCGUAACCGACCCGAGAGCGAGGACCGACACCCGGGCACUGAGACACGGCCCAGACUCUGACGGGAGGCAGCGGUAGGGACUCCUCCGCGAUGCGCGAAUGCCUGACGUUGCACCGCCGCGUGAGUGCUGAUGGUCUUCUGAUCGUAAAACUCUGUUAGUCUGGAAGUUCAAAUGUGUAAUUACCUAUGCUCGUCUUGACGGUACCUAAUCAGAAAGCUACGGCUAACUCCGUG
rnacentral:rRNA from 1 species